rnacentral:lncRNA from 1 species
CGCGAAGUUAGCGCGAGUCAAACGAAGGCGCCAAUCGUCUCCGUGAUUAGAGAUGAAUUUUUAUUUGUGCUAAACGAACAUCGUGCGAGAAAGCGGUCAAUGUGAUCGCGCGAUGAACAACGAAAUGUCGCAUUCACGCGCGAACAUUGCUGCCUUCGGGGUGAUGCUUUUGCUGGGACGCGUCAAGACAAAAUCAAGAUCGAGCGCCGGUGUUAGGUUAUCCGCACCGGAGCGCGGCACAGUGAAGCUGUCCGAUUUAUGUCGAUUGCAUCGACUUCGAUAAUCGCAAUCAGUUCGAAAGUCGCGAUCGGCGCCAACGGUCGGUCAGUUUCUCGUCGCCGCCGUCGCCGUUGUCGCCGUCACCGCGUGAGAUCAGAUUCUUUUUUGGGAGUGAAAAGGAAAGUAAAUUUCGGGCUACCCGGCCAUUCGUGCUCGUGACGAUCAUCGUGAAAUUCACGCGCGCGAAAUCUCAAAAUCUGCGAGAUUGUCCCGAUACACGACGUCAUCGUGAUUGGGGACCGGCGUCGUCGAUCGACGUAAACAACGUGUCUCGCAUGACCGUUCUGACCUUACACUGAUUGCAUCUAACAGAGAGGUUUGUGUGAUUGCGUCAACUGUGUUAUAUCGAGUCUCUUAGGUGUGUCCUUCGUGUGCGGUAUUCUUGAGUGAUAUCGCCAAGGAGAAACGAACUAUGCUGACAAGUAAGUAGAUAUAUGCGAUGUCUUUUAACAAAUGCAGAUUGUCUUACCUUUAUUUUAUCGCUUCCCAUAUGGAACGACGAGUUUCUCCAGUUUCUUCCUUUUCGUCCUCAUCGUCUCGCCAAGCUGAGAGGGACCGACGCGAUCUUGAGCAUUGAUAUUCAGCGGAGUGUCUCGAUCGCAUCCUUUAACUAGCAUCUGCUUUAAUCUUCAGAUUACCGGCGAUAAAACGGUUCAUUUGCAUAUAAAAAAACUCAACGUUCUUUUCAUAAUGAAGCGAUUAAAAUAAUAGGUUUACUUAUUAACUUGUAAUGUAUAAAUAAUUAAUGUUCAUUAGAAAUUA